CAAACCCAAGAGCAAUUCAAUGCCCACUAUCCGAUUUGCACUCAGACAAUUUUUUAGGCUU
rnacentral:tRNA from 1 species